rnacentral:tRNA from 1 species
GGAAGGGUGGCCGAGUGGUUUAAGGCACCGGUCUUGAAAACCGGCGUGCCCGCAAGGGUACCGUGGGUUCGAAUCCCACCUCUUCCGCCA